AUGGGAUGGAGCUGGAUCUUUCUCUUCCUCCUGUCAGGAAGUACAGGUGUCCUCUCUGAAGUUCAGCUGCAACAGUCUGGACCUGAACUGGUGAAGCCAGGGUCUUCAGUGAAGAUAUCCUGCAAGGCUUCUGGUUACUCUUUCACUGGCUACUUCAUGAACUGGGUGAAGCAGAGACAUGGAAAGAGCCUUGACUGGAUUGGACGCAUUAAUCCUUACAAUGGUGAUACUUUCUACAACCAGAAGUUCAAGGGCAAGGCCACAUUAACUGUAGACAAAUUCUCCAGCACAGCCUACAUGGAGCUCCUCAGCCUGACAUCUGAGGACUCUGCAGUCUAUUAUUGUGCAAGACACAGUGCUACAAACACAUCCUGGGUGUGUCAGAAACCUUGGAGGUGCAGCAAGUUCCCUUGGAACUGA